rnacentral:rRNA from 1 species
AAUACUCUACGGAGGAAAUCUGGCUCGCAAGAGCUGGGGCUUUAGGAGGAACCUACAUCCGAUUAGCUAGUUGGUGAGGUAAUGGCUCACCAAGGCGAUGAUCGGUAGCUGGCCUGAGAGGAUGACCAGCCACACUGGGACUGAGACACGGCCCAGACUCCUACGGGAGGCAGCAGUGGGGAAUAUUGGACAAUGGGGGAAACCCUGAUCCAGCAAUACCGCGUGGGUGAAGAAGGCCUUCGGGUUGUAAAGCCCUUUAGGCGGGGAAGAAUGUUAUAGGGUGAAUAUCCUUAUAACUUGACGGUACCCGCAGAAUAAGCACCGGCUAAUUCUGUGCCAGCAGCCCGCGGUAAUACAGAAGGUGCAAGCGUUAAUCGGAUUUAUUGGGCGUAAAGGGUGCGUAGGUGGUAAAGCAAGUAAGAUGUGAAAGCCCUGGGCUUAACCUGGGAAAGUGCAUCUUAAACUGCUUUAACUAAAGUAUGGUAAAAGGGUAGUGGGAA